rnacentral:rRNA from 1 species
UGGGGAAUCUUCCGCAAUGGACGAAAGUCUGACGGAGCAACGCCGCGUGAGUGAUGACGGCCUUCGGGUUGUAAAGCUCUGUUAAUCGGGACGAAUGGUUCUUGUGCGAAUAGUGCAAGGAUUUGACGGUACCGGAAUAGAAAGCCACGGCUAACUACGUGCCAGCAGCCGCGGUAAUACGUAGGUGGCAAGCGUUGUCCGGAAUUAUUGGGCGUAAAGUGCGCGCAGGCGGAUUGGUCAGUCUGUCUUAAAAGUUCGGGGCUUAACCCCGUGAUGGGAUGGAAACUGCCAAUCUAGAGUAUCGGAGAGGAAAGUGGAAUUCCUAGUGUAGCGGAGAAAUGCGUAGAUAUUAGGAAGAACACCAGUGGCGAAGGCGACUUUCUGGACGAAAACUGACGCUGAGGCGCGAAAGCCAGGGGAGCGAACGGG